rnacentral:misc_RNA from 1 species
UCGCGUCUUACGACGGCAGUUUCUCCAGAGUUCCCGGCAUGACCCGUUGGCAACUAGUGAUGGGGGUUGCGCUCGUUGCGGGACUUAACCCAACAUCUCACGACACGAGCUGACGACAGCCAUGCAGCACCUGUCUCCGUGCCCCUUGCGGGGAAAACCCAUCUCUGAGCCGGUCACGGGAUGUCAAGGGCUGGUAAGGUUCUGCGCGUUGCGUCGAAUUAAUCCACAUCAUCCACCGCUUGUGCGGGUCCCCGUCAAUUCCUUUGAGUUUUAACCUUGCGGCCGUACUCCCCAGGCGGGCAACUUCACGCGUUAGCUACGGUACUGAGGAAUCGCUCCCCCAACACCCAGUUGCCAUCGUUUAGGGCGUGGACUAC